AUUGAAAUACCGGUUCUCGUAAGGUCACAGAAGUUAAGCUACGUCGAGCCUGGACAGUACUAGAUGGGUGACCGCUUUGGAAUACCAGGCGCCA